UACGAAGGGGGCUAGCGUUGUUCGGAUUUACUGGGCGUAAAGCGCACGUAGGCGGAUACUUAAGUCAGGGGUGAAAUCCCGAGGCUCAACCUCGGAACUGCCUUCGAUACUGGAAGUCUUGAGUCCGGGAGAGGUGAGUGGAACUCCGAGUGUAGAGGUGAAAUUCGUAGAUAUUCGGAAGAACACCAGUGGCGAAGGCGGCUCACUGGCCCGGUACUGACGCUGAGAUACGAAAGCGUGGAGAGCAAACAGG
rnacentral:rRNA from 1 species